UUUCCUGGCAAAAAUUAAAUAUUUACUAUAUUGCUUGCAGGUAUUCAGCCCAUUUUUCAAGUCCUUGAGAAGAGAGAUACUACCAGCAGAAACUCCACAAGCACAUCAAAGAUGCUUCUACACUGCAGUCCCUGCUGCAGGUGUCCACACACCUCUGCUGCCACAGCUGCACUGCUGGGUGGGCUCACACCUCAGCAAGAGGAAGAGCCAUGGCUCACACACUCUUGGGUUCCCCAGGCCCAAUGCUGCUCUGAGUGAAAGGGUAUCUUUGCAGUGCUGACAACAACGGAUUCGUUCAUCAUCCUUCUCAUCCAGAACAGAGCUCAUACUGCUUAUGCUGCUAAUGCUGCCACGGCGGGAGCCGUGGACACCGCUUGGUGUACCACUGGCAGAUUUUGAAGAAUGAGGAGCUGGAAGAAUCAUAACAAAAAUAUUGGGGAGCAAUUUAGUAAAGUAAAACCCUGAGAAAAUGAAACAGGAGAACAGAUGGCUCUUGAAGCAUGUGGAAGUAGCAUCUUCAGCUUGAAAAUGGUGCAUAGAUCCAGAAAUUAUACCCACGGCACAAAAUCAAAUCGCGUGCAGUUCUCAAGUCUAGGAAACAUAUAGAAGGUUGGAAUAUUAAGAAGCACCAAAUUUACCUUUUCCAACCUGAUUAUUAACUUAUUGACUUCAACGACAUAGUGAUCAAUCCUGGCUGCUCGGUGUUUCUUGAAUUCAGAAAGAUGGCUUCUCAUAGCACCUGCAGGGAUAACAGAAAGUUGUCCUGGUCACCCAAGUACUCUGUAUGGAUUUAAAUGCCACUUGAAAGACAGAUGUCUCUUCACCAUUUACUUCUCAUGUUCAAAUUCGACUUUAAAGAUACGUUGGAAUCCUACAUUUUCACAGUAUUGCUGUAAAUAAAACAUGCUGGUUAAAGACUAA